UGAAGUGGAAGUGACAAAAUGUCCCACCCAAAGUUCAAGCAGAAGUGUUUUCCGGGGGUCACAACAACCCGUGUUUGUUUGGUGAGGUUCCACGCUCAUUCUCAGCAUUUGGGUUCGAAGCUGUGAACCAACCUUGAACCUUGGGAACUGGGAGUCGACAAGAUGGGACUAAUAUGUAAAAGAAAAAAGGUUCCGAAGACUUGUUGGAUGUCACUUCUCUUUUCAAAAGGAACAUUUUGAAGAUGGAAGCCGAAGAAUGUGAAGACAACUGAAUCGAAAGCCAUCGUGAGUUUUAAAUGUGUGUAUAGCACAUGACACCGUCAGAUGGAGAAGUAAGAACAUCCAGUCUGAGAGCCCUCUUUCUGAAAGCCUUGUUACACUUCCACUGGUUGACUUAAUUAUAUUACUGACACAAGUUUCCAGGAUGGACCUUCUGUGCGGCAGAUACAGGCUCUCUGGCUCUGGCUCCCAGGUGUCUGCUUCCCGAAGCUGCUAUUCUCUGACCUCUGGCGGCGACAAAAGACAGCCAUCCUUUUGGACCUCCACCUGCUCAGCUAGCGGAUCCAAAUUCUGCUGCUUCCACACCGCGGAGUGAUCUGCCAUGUCCUGAACGGCACGCGAGCUAAUGUCAUUUUGUGUUUUGAGUCUUUGAGAGUUUUCGGUGACUGAUCCUCACUGCAAACAGGUCCCCGAUUAUUUCUUUUCGGCUUGCUCUAAUAUUAC